UACACUUCUUAUCCAAGGCUGAAGAGUUGCAGGCCCACUGAUGUGAAAACAGUACAGGAUUCAUUAACAAUGCUUUCAACCCAAAUUUUGGCAACACAUCCUAAAAAAAUAUGGCGGACAUUUUGUAAUUAGAAAGAAAUUUACACCAGGACCACAGACAAGGUAGCAUCGAGCAAUGAAAUAAUUACUUCUGAAAUCAAGCAAAGUUUCAAACCGGCAGAGCUCAGAGCAUAUGCAGAAAAGAGGAAAAGCUAUCUUACUAGAAUUUACCAAAGAUGUGGCAGUGGAGUUCCGUAGCAGGGUGGAAUGAUUACAAAGGAGCACAAAGAAACUUUCAGGGAUAAAAGGUAUGUACAUCAUAUUCAUAAGCUGUUAAAAUUUAAUGUACAUACUGUGAAAGGAAAAUAUAUCUCAAGACCCUAGAAUCACUAAGCCAAAUAAAUGGAAAAGUCAAGCUGAAAACUGCAGAGGGCAAACCUGCCUCCCAUUCUAUUCCUAAAAAGAUAGCUACAAAUAAAAAUGCUACAUACCCUCCUUACAAUUGUCCACAAGGAAAUUCCUUGUUGGCAGUAUCUGAUUGCUUCCUUUCGAAAGGCUAAUCAGAAACUCAAAGGAAUGCAAUCGUUUGUCUCUUAUCUACCUACGACCUGGAAGCCCCCUCCCUGCUUCGAAUUGUCUCGCCUUUCCAGACAAAACCAGUGAACAUCUUACAUAUGUCAAUUGAUAUCUCAUGUUUCCUUAAAAUGCAUAAAGCCAAGCUGUGCCCCAACCACCUUGGGCACAUGUCAUCUGGACCUCCUGAGGCUGUGUCACAGGCCUAUCCUUAAUCUUGACAAAAUAAACAUUCUAAAUUUAAUGAGACCUGUCUUAGAUUUUUGGGGUGCACAAUACUAAUUACAUAGGGAUAUUGUGAAAGUAUAGAUUCUAACUCAGUUGGUCUGCACUGGGACCUGAGUUUCUAAAUUUCUAAUAAUCUCUCAGGUUAUGUCAAAACUGUUUCUCCUAAUGCUGCACUUUGAGUAGCAAAGCUGUAUUACAUUGUUUCACAAUCUAUCUGAAAGAAAGGUCAGAUUUUAUAAAAAAUAUUUUUCAAACAGUUAUAUACUGAUAUAAAUAAAAAUGAAAUAAAAGCAAAGAUACAAAAGUAUAACCCAUGUUAUUGGAUGUGACAGAGGUAACAUACUCUGUCAAAUAACAUUAAAAUUUCUAAUUCCUUACUCAAAAUUUAUGCAGGUAAGUUGCGAUAACAGUUUAUGGUUGGAUGUUAGCCCAUAGACCACACUUUGAGAAUCACUGUUCUAUUGAGUAUUCAGAAUAAUGGUAAUUUGUAGCACAGUAUUAUUCUUUUCUUCCUGAA
rnacentral:lncRNA from 10 species